UGACAAAAUUGUUUUAAGAAUUUAUAUUAUUCAAUUAUUAUGAUAAUUUCUAUAUAAAUAUCUUUUUACAAUAUAUAUAUAUAUACAUAUAUAUAUAUUAUAAAUGAAUAACAAUAAUGAUUUUGGCUACUUGAUGGUUAUUUAUUUGGAUAUAUAUGUAUUUAUGUAUUUGCAAAUUUAAAGAGCAAAAGAGGGAAAAAAUAAUAAAUAAUAAAAAUAAUGCAGAAAAGAAAGGUACAUUGGAUUUAUUUUCAUUAAUUUUACAUACGUAUUGAUACGUUGACUGUUGGAUUCAACAGCAUUCGUUCGAAAACAUAAUAUAUAUAAAAUAUAUAACUAAUUCAAGAAAUAAAUAAUAAUCAGUCAUAUACUUAUGAUACAUUAAAGUACGAUGUAUUAUGAGUAUUAAGUUUUAUAGCUAUAGUAAUAUAUGGUUAAUAUUAAUUUGUUAACGAAGAAAUAUUCCUAUAAUUUCAUUCAUUUUAAAUAGAAUUUGCAUCAUCUCGAUUAGAAUUGUGCAUUGAAAUUGAAUCGUUGAAAAUAUUCUUGCGCAAAGGAAACAUUGCUUCGUUGAAUCUAUGAGAAGCAUGAUCGAAAAAUAACAGAUUUUUACAUUAAUUUCGAUUACAGGAUAUUCGAUCGAUCAUAAUUUCUUGUAUAACGUUUAAUAAUAUAAUUUAAUACAAUUUUAUCUAUAUAUGUUUUCGUGAAUUCUGAUAAUUAUGUACGAAUGAAGUUAUUUUAAUAACUAGAACGAUGACUAGAAUUUAAUUCAUUAUUUUACUAUCAAAAUAUAAAUUCAAAAAUAUGCGAAUUGGAAAAUAUAUAAAAUAGAAAUAGAAAAUUAAUUUAAAAUAAAUGUAAAUUUAAUCAAAUUAUAAUAUUAAUCAAAAGAUAAAGUAGCUAAAAUUGUUAGAUAUUUUGUAAUAGAUUUUGAAUAAAAAAAAAAUUUUUACGAACGAAUGCAUAAGUAAACAUCUAUGAUGUUAAAAUUCGAGAUAAUCGAAAUCGCGAUCAAUCGAUCAAAUCAAUGUGUUUUAAUCUAAGCUUGUUCAGAACGACGUCGACGACCGGGGCCUCCGGCAUAAUUUGCCGCGGCUAGUCCCAUUAAAUGUUUUGCAGCUUGUGAUCCGCUGAAUCCACGACUCAAACCAAGAUCCAAUCCUCGUUUGUUACUGUAAAAAGGAACUGCGGUCAACGGAGAAAUUUGUAAAACGGAUAAUAGAUAUUUUUAAUGAUUAAGUUAAUUAGAAGAACGUGAUAUGUAUCAAUUUAAUAAUACUUAUGUUACAUUUACUUUUCAAGCUCUGGAUUGCGUAUCAUAGUGUGACCAAGUCGAGUAAUAAUUUCCAUCAAUGCUUCCGGAUCUUCUUCAUCAAAUUGACUCCAGUAUCCUUGUUGACUAUAUGAAAUGAAAAUGAAUAAUCCCUUUUAAACGAGAGCAUAUUCGUGAAAAUCUCGUUACUUAACGUCGUUUCAACUAUCAAAUUUAUAACUUCUUCUUCAUUUAUCAAGCUACGUAUACAUAAUACCAUAAUAGAAUGGAAAGAUAUAACAACAACAUUCUCGUCUCUUUAAUUUUAGAUACACUGGAAUCGUUUUCUCUCAUUAAACGAUGUCUCAUUAAAUGGAACUAGGUUAAAUUUCUGACAUUGCCAGAUGGAUCUUCCGUUCACUUUGUACGUAUAUAUUUUUUCUCGAUUUCUUUGCAAUAUAAUAUGCACAAUAAAACUGAUUCGUGUUUUUAUGUAUAUAUUUAUAUAUUUUUCAUAAUAUAUUAUCUUGGAAUUUCAUCGUAUAUUUUGGAAAAAAUAUUAUAAACAUCGAACAGUUGAUCGGGUUUAUUAAAAAAAAAUCGAAAGAAUCGAUCGAGAUCGGAAAAGACUUACGGUGCAGCAUUCGUCGAAAGAUUGGACGAUACAAAAAGACCCACAACCAUUAAUAGUACAUAGAACGAUAUGAUUCCUUGCUGCAUCCUCGAUGAUUCUUUUAAAUCUGGAAUUCAAAGUAAUAUGAUUUCAUUUUAAAAUUGAUCAUUUAUUAAUUCAUUUUAAAAUUCAUUUUAUUCUGCAUACAUUUAACAUAGUAUGAACUCGAUCGAAAUAAACAUAUAUAUAUUAUUAAUUCGAUAAAAAAUUUAAUAUCUUAUAAUUUUAUUUGAAAUUUUUAACGCAUUGAUACAAAGAAAAAAAAAAGUAUAAAAUAGAAAAAAGGAAUGAAAAAGGAACGAAAGUUGAAAAAAAGGAAAAAAAAAGGCAAUAGCAAUGUUUAUACCACUUUUCUUUUUUCACACUAUCUCAAAAGAAAAGUGGAUGCAUUCAGUGGCUAAAGCUACUAACAAACUAUUCAACCGACAAUCUAGGAAGGAAAGACCGAUCGUGGCCAACUUUUCGAGUAGAUUCCUCCGUUGUAUUGUUUCGAUUCGCAACGAAUGUUACAAUGCGAUACUGUAUAUGCGAGUAAAUAUAUAAAUCGUAUACAAUUGUAAUAUAAUAAAAUAUUUCAUUUGUGAAACAUAA